AUACGGAGGGAGCGAGCGUUAAUCGGAAUUACUGGGCGUAAAGCGCGCGUAGGCGGCUUUGUAAGUCGGAUGUGAAAGCCCUGGGCUCAACCUGGGAAUUGCACUCGAUACUGCAGAGCUAGAGUAUGGUAGAGGGAAGUGGAAUUUCCGGUGUAGCGGUGAAAUGCGUAGAUAUCGGAAGGAACACCAGUGGCGAAGGCGACUUCCUGGGCCAAUACUGACGCUGAGGUGCGAAAGCGUGGGGAGCAAACAGGAUUAGAAACCCGAGUAGUCC
rnacentral:rRNA from 1 species